AACUCCGUGGUGAAGUUCAUGUUGAGUUGCAAGCUCAUCGAUGUGCAUUUAAAGUGCGCCGGGGUUU
rnacentral:tRNA from 1 species